GACCUUCGGGGGCUGAUUUUUGGGCGCGGGUGUGCCCGUGGCCUAUUUUUGGCACACGGAGGCCGCCCGCAAAGUCUGGGGCCAUUCCGAGUCCGGAGGACGAACUUCGCCCACGCCCCCCACCAAGGCUAUAGCCCACCCGUUUUUUGGCCAUUUUUCCGCUGGAGGGUCUUGGCGCCCCGACCUUCGGGGGCUGAUCUUUGGGCGCGGGUGUGCCCGUGGCCUAUUUUUGGCACACGGAGGCCGCCCGCAAAGUCUGGGGCCAUUCCGAGUCCGGCGGACGAACUUCGCCCACGCCCCCCACCAAGGCUAUAGCCCACCCGUUUUUUGGCCAUUUUUCCGCUGGGGGGUCUUGGCUCCCCGACCUUCGGGGGCUGAUUUUUGGGCGCGGGUGUGCCCGUGGCCUAUUUUUGGCACACGGAGGCCGCCCGCAAAGUCUGGGGCCAUUCCGAGUCCGGCGGACGAACUUCGCCCACGCCCCCCACCAAGCUAUAGCCCACCCGUUUUUUGCCAUUUUUCCGCUGGGGGGUCUUGGCGCCCCGACCUUCGGGGGCUGAAUUUUGGGCGCGGGUGUGCCCGUGGCCUAUUUUUGGCACACGGAGGCCGCCCGCAAAGUCUGGGGCCAUUCCGAGUCCGGCGGACGAACUUCGCCCACGCCCCCCACCAAGGCUAUAGCCCACCCGUUUUUUGGCCAUUUUUCCGCUGGGGGGUCUUGGCGCCCCGACCUUCGUGGGCUGAAUUUUGGGCGCGGGUGUGCCCGUGGCCUAUUUUUUGCACACGGAGGCCUUCCGCAAAGUCUGGGGCCAUUCCGAGUCCCGCGGACGAACUUCGCCCACGCCCCCCACCAAGGCUAUAGCCCACCCGUUUUUUGGCCAUUUUUCCGCUGGGGGGUCUUGGCGCCCCGACCUUCGGGGGCUGAAUUUUGGGCGCGGGUGUGCCCGUGGCCUAUUUUUGGCACACGGAGGCCGCCCGCAAAGUCUGGGGCCAUUCCGAGUCCGGCGGGCGAACUUCGCCCACGCCCCCCACCAAGGCUAUAGCCCACCCGUUUUUUGGCCAUUUUUCCGCUGGGGGGUCUUGGCGCCCCGACCUUCGGGGGCUGAAUUUUGGGCGCGGGUGUGCCCGUGGCCUAUUUUUGGCACACGGAGGCCGCCCGCAAAGUCUGGAGCCAUUCCGAGUCCGGCGGACAAACUUCGCCCACGUCCCCCACCAAGGCUAUAGCCCACCCGUUUUUUGGCCAUUUUUCCGCUGGGGGGUCUUGGCGCCCCGACCUUCGGGGGCUGAAUUUUGGGCGCGGGUGUGCCCGUGGCCUAUUUUUGGCACACGGAGGCCGCCCGCAAAGUCUGGGGCCAUUCCGAGUCCGGCGGACGAACUUCGCCCACGCCCCCCACCAAGGCUAUAGCCCACCCGUUUUUUGGCCAUUUUUCCGCUAGGGGGUCUUGGCGCCCCGACCUUCGGGGGCUGAUUUUUGGGCGCGGGUGUGCCCGUGGCCUAUUUUUGGCACACGGAGGCCGCCCGCAAAGUCUGGGGCCAUUCCGAGUCCGGCGGACGAACUUCGCCCACGCCCCCCACCAAGGCUAUAGCCCACCCGUUUUUUGGCCAUUUUUCCGCUGGGGGGUCUUGGCGCCCCGACCUUCGGGGGCUGAUUUUUGGGCGCGGGUGUGCCCGUGGCCUAUUUUUGGCACACGGAGGCCGCCCGCAAAGUCUGGGGCCAUUCCGAGUCCGGCGGACGAACUUCGCCCACGCCCCCCACCAAGGCUAUAGCCCACCCGUUUUUUGGCCAUUUUUCCGCUGGGGGGUCUUGGCUCCCCGACCUUCGGGGGCUGAUUUUUGGGCGCGGGUGUGCCCGUGGCCUAUUUUUGGCACACGGAGGCCGCCCGCAAAGUCUGGGGCCAUUCCGAGUCCGGCGGACGAACUUCGCCCACGCCCCCCACCAAGGCUAUAGCCCACCCGUUUUUUGGCCAUUUUUCCGCUGGGGGGUCUUGGCGCCCCGACCUUCGGGGGCUGAUUUUUGGGCGCGGGUGUGCCCGUGGCCUAUUUUUGGCACACGGAGGCCGCCCGCAAAGUCUGGGGCCAUUCCGAGUCCGGCGGACGAACUUCGCCCACGCCCCGCACCAAGGCUAUAGCCCACCCGUUUUUUGGCCAUUUUUCCGCUGGGGGGUCUUGGCGCCCCGACCUUCGGGGGCUGAAUUUUGGGCGCGGGUGUGCCCGUGGCCUAUUUUUGGCACACGGAGGCCGCCCGCAAAGUCUGGGGCCAUUCCGAGUCCGGCGGACGAACUUCGCCCACGCCCCCCACCAAGGCUAUAGCCCACCCGUUUUUUGGCCAUUUUUCCGCUGGGGGGUCUUGGCGCCCCGACCUUCGGGGGCUGAUUUUUGGGCGCGGCUGUGCCCGUGGCCUAUUUUUGGCACACGGAGGCCGCCCGCAAAGUCUGGGGCCAUUCCGAGUCCGGCGGACGAACUUCGCCCACCACCCCCACCAAGGCUAUAGCCCACCCGUUUUUUGGCCAUUUAUCCGCUGGGGGGUCUUGGCGCCCCGACCUUCGGGGGCUGAAUUUUGGGCGCGGGUGUGCCCGUGGCCUAUUUUUGGCACACGGAGGCCGCCCGCAAAGUCUGGGGCCAUUCCGAGUCCGGCGGACGAACUUCGCCCACGCCCCCCACCAAGGCUAUAGCCCACCCGUUUUUUGGCCAUUUUUCCGCUGGGGGGUCUUGGCGCCCCGACCUUCGGGGGCUGAUUUUUGGGCGCGGGUGUGCCCGUGGCCUAUUUUUGGCACACGGAGGCCGCCCGCAAAGUCUGGGGCCAUUCCGAGUCCGGCGGACGAACUUCGCCCACGCCCCCCACCAAGGCUAUAGCCCACCCGUUUUUUGGCCAUUUUUCCGCUGGGGGGUCUUGGCUCCCCGACCUUCGGGGGCUGAUUUUUGGGCGCGGGUGUGCCCGUGGCCUAUUUUUGGCACACGGAGGCCGCCCGCAAAGUCUGGGGCCAUUCCGAGUCCGGCGGACGAACUUCGCCCACGCCCCCCACCAAGGCUAUAGCCCACCCGUUUUUUGGCCAUUUUUCCGCUGGGGGGUCUUGGCGCCCCGACCUUCGGGGGCUGAAUUUUGGGCGCGGGUGUGCCCGUGGCCUAUUUUUUGCACACGGAGGCCGCCCGCAAAGUCUGGGGCCAUUCCGAGUCCGGCGGACGAACUUCGCCCACGCCCCCCACCAAGGCUAUAGCCCACCCGUUUUUUGGCCAUUUUUCCGCUGGGGGGUCUUGGCGCCCCGACCUUCGGGGGCUGAAUUUUGGGCGCGGGUGUGCCCGUGGCCUAUUUUUGGCACACGGAGGCCGCCCGCAAAGUCUGGGGCCAUUCCGAGUCCGGCGGACGAACUUCGCCCACGCCCCCCACCAAGGCUAUAGCCCACCCGUUUUUUGGCCAUUUUUCCGCUGGGGGGUCUUGGCGCCCCGACCUUCAGGGGCUGAUUUUUGGGCGCGGGUGUGCCCGUGGCCUAUUUUUGGCAAACGGAGGCCGCCCGCAGAGUCUGGGGCCAUUCCGAGUCCGGCGGACGAGCUUCGCCCACGCCCCCCACCAAGGCUAUAGCCCACCCGUUUUUUGGCCAUUUUUCCGCUGGGGGGUCUUGGCGCCCCGACCUUCGGGGGCUGAUUUUUGGGCGCGGGUGUGCCCGUGGCCUAUUUUUGGCACACGGAGGCCGCCCGCAAAGUCUGGGGCCAUUCCGAGUCCGGCGGACGAACUUCGCCCACGCCCCCCACCAAGGCUAUAGCCCACCCGUUUUUUGGCCAUUUUUCCGCUGGGGGGUCUUGGCGCCCCGACCUUCGGGGGCUGAUUUUUGGGCGCGGGUGUGCCCGUGGCCUAUUUUUGGCAUACGGAGGCCGCCCGCAAAGUCUGGGGCCAUUCCGAGUCCGGCGGACGAACUUCGCCCACGCCCCCCACCAAGGCUAUAGCCCACCCGUUUUUUGGCCAUUUUUCCGCUGGGGGGUCUUGGCUCCCCGACCUUCGGGGGCUGAUUUUUGGGCGCGGGUGUGCCCGUGGCCUAUUUUUGGCACACGGAGGCCGCCCGCAAAGUCUGGGGCCAUUCCGAGUCCGGCGGACGAACUUCGCCCACGCCCCCCACCAAGGCUAUAGCCCACCCGUUUUUUGGCCAUUUUUCCGCUGGGGGGUCUUGGCGCCCCGACCUUCGGGGGCUGAAUUUUGGGCGCGGGUGUGCCCGUGGCCUAUUUUUGGCACACGGAGGCCGCCCGCAAAGUCUGGGGCCAUUCCGAGUCCGGCGGACGAACUUCGCCCACGCCCCCCACCAAGGCUAUAGCCCACCCGUUUUUUGGCCAUUUUUCCGCUGGGGGGACUUGGCUCCCCGACCUUCGGGGGCUGAUUUUUGGGCGCGGGUGUGCCCGUGGCCUAUUUUUGGCACACGGAGGCCGCCCGCAAAGUCUGGGGCCAUUCCGAGUCCGGCGGACGAACUUCGCCCACGCCCCCCACCAAGGCUAUAGCCCACCCGUUUUUUGGCCAUUUUUCCGCUGGGGGGUCUUGGCGCCCCGACCUUCGGGGGCUGAAUUUUGGGCGCGGGUGUGCCCGUGGCCUAUUUUUGGCACACGGAGGCCGCCCGCAAAGUCUGGGGCCAUUCCGAGUCCGGCGGACGAACUUCGCCCACGCCCCCCACCAAGGCUAUAGCCCACCCGUUUUUUGGCCAUUUUUCCGCUGGGGGGUCUUGGCGCCCCGACCUUCGGGGGCUGAAUUUUGGGCGCGGGUGUGCCCGUGGCCUAUUUUUGGCACACGGAGGCCGCCCGCAAAGUCUGGGGCCAUUCCGAGUCCGGCGGACGAACUUCGCCCACGCCCCCCACCAAGGCUAUAGCCCACCCGUUUUUUGGCCAUUUUUCCGCUGGGGGGUCUUGGCGCCCCGACCUUCGGGGGCUGAAUUUUGGGCGCGGGUGUGUCCGUGGCCUAUUUUUGGCACACGGAGGCCGCCCGCAAAGUCUGGGGCCAUUCCGAGUCCGGCGGACGAACUUCGCCCACGCCCCCCACCAAGGCUAUAGCCCACCCGUUUUUUGGCCAUUUUUCCGCUGGGGGGUCUUGGCGCCCCGACCUUCGGGGGCUGAAUUUUGGGCGCGGGUGUGCCCGUGGCCUAUUUUUGGCACACGGAGGCCGCCCGCAAAGUCUGGGGCCAUUCCGAGUCCGGCGGACGAGCUUCGCCCACACCCCCCACCAAGGCUAUAGCCCACCCGUUUUUUGGCCAUUUUUCCGCUGGGGGGUCUUGGCGCCCCGACCUUCGGGGGCUGAAUUUUGGGCGCGGGUGUGCCCGUGGCCUAUUUUUGGCACACGGAGGCCGCCCGCAAAGUCUGGGGCCAUUCCGAGUCCGGCGGACGAACUUCGCCCACGCCCCCCACCAAGGCUAUAGCCCACCCGUUUUUUGGCCAUUUUUCCGCUGGGGGGUCUUGGCGCCCCGACCUUCGGGGGCUGAUUUUUGGGCGCGGGUGUGCCCGUGGCCUAUUUUUGGCACACGGAGGCCGCCCGCAAAGUCUGGGGCCAUUCCGAGUCCGGCGGACGAACUUCGCCCACGCCCCCCACCAAGGCUAUAGCCCACCCGUUUUUUGGCCAUUUUUCCGCUGGGGGGUCUUGGCGCCCCGACCUUCGGGGGCUGAAUUUUGGGCGCGGGUGUGCCCGUGGCCUAUUUUUGGCACACGGAGGCCGCCCGCAAAGUCUGGGGCCAUUCCGAGUCCGGCGGACGAACUUCGCCCACGCCCCCCACCAAGGCUAUAGCCCACCCGUUUUUUGGCCAUUUUUCCGCUGGGGGGUCUUGGCGCCCCGACCUUCGGGGGCUGAAUUUUGGGCGCGGGUGUGCCCGUGGCCUAUUUUUGGCACACGGAGGCCGCCCGCAAAGUCUGGGGCCAUUCCGAGUCCGGCGGACGAACUUCGCCCACGCCCACCACCAAGGCUAUAGCCCACCCGUUUUUUGGCCAUUUUUCCGCUGGGGGGUCUUGGCGCCCCGACCUUCGGGGGCUGAAUUUUGGGCGCGGGUGUGCCCGUGGCCUAUUUUUGGCACACGGAGGCCGCCCGCAAAGUCUGGGGCCAUUCCGAGUCCGGCGGACGAGCUUCGCCCACGCCCCCCACCAAGGCUAUAGCCCACCCGUUUUUUGGCCAUUUUUCCGCUGGGGGGUCUUGGCGCCCCGACCUUCGGGGGCUUAAUUUUGGGCGCGGGUGUGCCCGUGGCCUAUUUUUGGCACACGGAGGGCGCCCGCAAAGUCUGGGGCCAUUCCGAGUCCGGCGGACGAACUUCGCCCACGUCCCCCACCAAGGCUAUAGCCCACCCAUUUUUUGGCCAUUUUUCCGCUGGGGGGUCUUGGCGCCCCGACCUUCGGGGGCUGAUUUUUGGGCGCGGGUGUGCCCGUGGCCUAUUUUUGGCACACGGAGGCCGCCCGCAAAGUCUGGGGCCAUUCCGAGUCCGGCGGACGAACUUCGCCCACGCCCCCCACCAAGGCUAUAGCCCACCCGUUUUUUGGCCAUUUUUCCGCUGGGGGGUCUUGGCGCCCCGACCUUCGGGGGCUGAUUUUUGGGCGCGGGUGUGCCCGUGGCCUAUUUUUGGCACACGGAGGCCGCCCGCAAAGUCUGGGGCCAUUCCGAGUCCGGCGGACGAACUUCGCCCACGCCCCCCACCAAGGCUAUAGCCCACCCGUUUUUUGGCCAUUUUUCCGCUGGGGGGUCUUGGCGCCCCGACCUUCGGGGGCUGAUUUUUGGGCGCGGGUGUGCCCGUGGCCUAUUUUUGGCACACGGAGGCCGCCCGCAAAGUCUGGGGCCAUUCCGAGUCCGGCGGACGAGCUACGCCCACGCCCCCCACCAAGGCUAUAGCCCACCCAUUUUUUGGCCAUUUUUCCGCUGGGGGGUCUUUGCGCCCCGACCUUCGGGGGCUGAAUUUUGGGCGCGGGUGUGCCCGUGGCCUAUUUUUGGCACACGGAGGCCGCCCGCAAAGUCUGGGGCCAUUCCGAGUCCGGCGGACGAACUUCGCCCACGCCCCCCACCAAGGCUAUAGCCCACCCGUUUUUUGGCCAUUUUUCCGCUGGGGGGUCUUGGCGCCCCGACCUUCGGGGGCUGAUUUUUGGGCGCGGGUGUGCCCGUGGCCUAUUUCGGGCACACGGAGGCCGCCCGCAAAGUCGGGGGCCAUUUCGAGUCCGGCGGACGAACUUCGCCCACGCCCCCCACCAAGGCUAUAGCCCACCCGUUUUUUGGCCAUUUUUCCGCUGGGGGGUCUUGGCGCCCCGACCUUCGGGGGCUGAAUUUUGGGCGCGGGUGUGCCCGUGGCCUAUUUUUGGCACACGGAGGCCGCCCGCAAAGUCUGGGGCCAUUCCGAGUCCGGCGGACGAACUUCGCCCACGCCCCCCACCAAGGCUAUAGCCCACCCGUUUUUUGGCCAUUUUUCCGCUGGGGGGUUUUGGCACCACGACCUUCGCGCGCUUAUUUCUGGGCGCGGCUUUGCCCGCGGCUUAUUUUUGGCACCCCGAGGCCCCUCGCAAAGUCUCGCCCCAUUCCGAGUCCGGCGGACGAACUUCGCCCGCGCCCCCCACCAAGGCUAUAGCCCACCCGUUUUUUGGCCAUUUUUCCGCUGGGGGGUUUUGGCACCACGACCUUCGCGCGCUUAUUUCUGGGCGCGGCUUUGCCCGCGGCUUAUUUUUGGCACCCCGAGGCCCCUCGCAAAGUCUCGCCGCAUUCCGAGUCCGGCGGACGAACGUCGCCCGCGCCCCCCACCAAGUCUAUAGCCCACCCGUUUUUUGGCCAUUUUUCCGCUCGGGGGUUUUGGCACCACGACCUUCGGGCGCUUAUUUUUGGGCGCGGCUUUGCCCGCGGCUUAUUUUUGGCACCCCGAGGCCCCUCGCAAAGUCUCGCCCCAUUCCGAGUCCGGCGGACGAACUUCGCCCGCGCCCCCCACCAAGGCUAUAGCCCACCCGUUUUUUGGCCAUUUUUCCGCUGGGGGGUCUUGGCGCCCCGACCUUCGGGGGCUGAUUUUUGGGCGCGGGUGUGCCCGUGGCCUAUUUUUGGCACACGGAGGCCGCCCGCAAAGUCUGGGGCCAUUCCGAGUCCGGCGGACGAACUUCGCCCACGCCCCCCACCAAGGCUAUAGCCCACCCGUUUUUUGGCCAUUUUUCCGCUGGGGGGUCUUGGCGCCCCGACCUUCGGGGGCUGAAUUUUGGGCGCGGGUGUGCCCGUGGCCUAUUUUUGGCACACGGAGGCCGCCCGCAAAGUCUGGGGCCAUUCCGAGUCCGGCGGACGAACUUCGCCCACGCCCCCCACCAAGGCUAUAGCCCACCCGUUUUUUGGCCAUUUUUCCGCUGGGGGGUCUUGGCGCCCCGACCUUCGGGGGCUGAAUUUUGGGCGCGGGUGUGCCCGUGGCCUAUUUUUGGCACACGGAGGCCGCCCGCAAAGUCUGGGGCCAUUCCGAGUCCGGCGGACGAACUUCGCCCACGCCCCCCACCAAGGCUAUAGCCCACCCGUUUUUUGGCCAUUUUUCCGCUGGGGGGUCUUGGCGCCCCGACCUUCGGGGGCUGAAUUUUGGGCGCGGGUGUGCCCGUGGCCUAUUUUUGGCACACGGAGGCCGCCCGCAAAGUCUGGGGCCAUUCCGAGUCCGGCGGACGAACUUCGCCCACGCCCCCCACCAAGGCUAUAGCCCACCCGUUUUUUGGCCAUUUUUCCGCUGGGGGGUCUUGGCGCCCCGACCUUCGGGGGCUGAUUUUUGGGCGCGGGUGUGCCCGUGGCCUAUUUUUGGCACACGGAGGCCGCCCGCAAAGUCUGGGGCCAUUCCGAGUCCGGCGGACGAACUUCGCCCACGCCCCCCACCAAGGCUAUAGCCCACCCGUUUUUUGGCCAUUUUUCCGCUGGGGGGUCUUGGCGCCCCGACCUUCGGGGACUGAUUUUUGGGCGCGGCUGUGCCCGUGGCCUAUUUUUGGCACACGGAGGCCGCCCGCAAAGUCUGGGGCCAUUCCGAGUCCGGCGGACGAACUUCGCCCACGCCCCCCACCAAGGCUAUAGCCCACCCGUUUUUUGGCCAUUUUUCCGCUGGGGGGUCUUGGCGCCCCGACCUUCGGGGGCUGAAUUUUGGGCGCGGGUGUGCCCGUGGCCUAUUUUUGGCACACGGAGGCCGCCCGCAAAGUCUGGGGCCAUUCCGAGUCCGGCGGACGAACUUCGCCCACGCCCCCCACCAAGGCUAUAGCCCACCCGUUUUUUGGCCAUUUUUCCGCUGGGGGGUCUUGGCGCCCCGACCUUCGGGGGCUGAAUUUUGGGCGCGGGUGUGCCCGUGGCCUAUUUUUGGCACACGGAGGCCGCCCGCAAAGUCUGGGGCCAUUCCGAGUCCGGCGGACGAACUUCGCCCACGCCCCCCACCAAGGCUAUAGCCCACCCGUUUUUUGGCCAUUUUUCCGCUGGGGGGUCUUGGCGCCCCGACCUUCGGGGGCUGAUUUUUGGGCGCGGGUGUGCCCGUGGCCUAUUUUUGGCACACGGAGGCCGCCCGCAAAGUCUGGGGCCAUUGCGAGUCCGGCGGACGAACUUCGCCCACCACCCCCACCAAGGCUAUAGCCCACCCGUUUUUUGGCCAUUUUUCCGCUGGGGGGUCUUGGCGCCCCGACCUUCGGGGGCUGAAUUUUGGGCGCGGGUGUGCCCGUGGCCUAUUUUUGGCACACGGAGGCCGCCCGCAAAGUCUGGGGCCAUUCCGAGUCCGGCGGACGAACUUCGCCCACGCCCCCCACCAAGGCUAUAGCCCACCCGUUUUUUGGCCAUUUUUCCGCUGGGGGGUCUUGGCGCCACGACCUUCGGGGGCUUAAUUUUGGGCGCGGGUGUUCCCGUGGCCUAUUUUUGGCACACGGAGGCCGCCCGCAAAGUCUGGGCCAUUCCGAGUCCGGCGGACGAACUUCGCCCACGCCCCCCACCAAGGCUAUAGCCGACCCGUUUUUUGGCCAUUUUUCCGCUGGGGGGUCUUGGCGCCCCGACCUUCGGGGGCUGAAUUUUGGGCGCGGGUGUGCCCGUGGCCUAUUUUUGGCACACGGAGGCCGCCCGCAAAGUCUGGGGCCAUUCCGAGUCCGGCGGACGAACUUCACCCACGCCCCCCACCAAGGCUAUAGGCCACCCGUUUUUUGGACAUUUUUCCGCUGGGGGGUCUUGGCGCCCCGACCUUCGGGGGCUGAAUUUGGGGCGCGGGUGUGCCCGUGGCCUAUUUUUGGCACACGGAGGCCGCCCGCAAAGUCUGGGGCCAUUCCGAGUCCGGCGGACGAACUUCGCCCACGCCCCCCACCAAGGCUAUAGCCCACCCGUUUUUUGGCCAUUUUUCCGCUGGGGGGUCUUGGCGCCCCGACCUUCGGGGGCUGAAUUUUGGGCGCGGGUGUGCCCGUGGCCUAUUUUUGGCACACGGAGGCCGCCCGCAAAGUCUGGGGCCAUUCCGAGUCCGGCGGACUAACUUCGCCCACGCCCCCCACCAAGGCUAUAGCCCACCCGUUUUUUGGCCAUUUUUCCGCUGGGGGGUCUUGGCGCCCCGACCUUCGGGGGCUGAAUUUUGGGCGCGGGUGUGCCCGUGGCCUAUUUUUGGCACACGGAGGCCGCCCGCAAAGUCUGGGGCCAUUCCGAGUCCGGCGGACGAACUUCGCCCACGCCCCCCACCAAGGCUAUAGCCCACCCGUUUUUUGGCCAUUUUUCCGCUGGGGGGUCUUGGCGCCCCGACCUUCGGGGGCUGAAUUUUGGGCGCGGGUGUGCCCGUGGCCUAUUUUUGGCACACGGAGGCCGCCCGCAAAGUCUGGGGCCAUUCCGAGUCCGGCGGACGAACUUCGCCCACGCCCCCCACCAAGGCUAUAGCCCACCCGUUUUUUGGCCAUUUUUCCGCUGGGGGGUCUUGGCGCCCCGACCUUCGGGGGCUGAAUUUUGGGCACGGGUGUGCCCGUGGCCUAUUUUUGGCACACGGAGGCCGCCCGCAAAGUCUGGGGCCAUUCCGAGUCCGGCGGACGAACUUCGCCCACGCCCCCCACCAAGGCUAUAGCCCACCCGUUUUUUGGCCAUUUUUCCGCUGGGGGGUCUUGGCGCCCCGACCUUCGGGGGCUGAAUUUUGGGCGCGGGUGUGCCCGUGGCCUAUUUUUGGCACACGGAGGCCGCCCGCAAAGUCUGGGGCCAUUCCGAGUCCGGCGGACGAACUUCGCCCACGCCCCCCACCAAGGCUAUAGCCCACCCGUUUUUUGGCCAUUUUUCCGCUGGGGGGUCUUGGCGCCCCGACCUUCGGGGGCUGAUUUUUGGGCGCGGGUGUGCCCGUGGCCUAUUUUUGGCACACGGAGGCCGCCCGCAAAGUCUGGGGCCAUUCCGAGUCCGGCGGACGAACUUCGCCCACGCCCCCCACCAAGGCUAUAGCCCACCCGUUUUUUGGCCAUUUUUCCGCUGGGGGGUCUUGGCGCCCCGACCUUCGGGGGCUGAAUUUUGGGCGCGGGUGUGCCCGUGGCCUAUUUUUGGCACACGGAGGCCGCCCGCAAAGUCUGGGGCCAUUCCGAGUCCGGCGGACGAACUUCGCCCACGCCCCCCACCAAGGCCAUAGCCCACCCGUUUUUUGGCCAUUUUUCCGCUGGGGGGUCUUGGCGCCCCGACCUUCGGGGGCUGAAUUUUGCGCGCGGGUGUGCCCGUGGCCUAUUUUUGGCACACGGAGGCCGCCCGCAAAGUCUGGGGCCAUUGCGAGUCCGGCGGACG
rnacentral:lncRNA from 1 species